rnacentral:rRNA from 1 species
ACUCAAAGGAAUUGACGGGGGCCCGCACAAGCGGUGGAUCAUGUGGUUUAAUUCGAAGCAACGCGAAGAACCUUACCUGGGUUUGACAUCCUCUGACAUCCAUAGAGAUAUGGCUUUCGUAGCAAUACGACAGAGAGACAGGUGCUGCAUGGCUGUCGUCAGCUCGUGUGGUGACAUGUUGGGUUAAGUCCCGCAACGAGCGCAACCCCCGUCCUUAGUUGCCAUCAUUAAGUUGGGCACUCUAAGGAGACUGCCGUGGUUAACACGGAGGAAGGUGGGGAUGACGUCAAGUCCUCAUGGCCCUUACAUCCAGGGCGACACACGUGAUACAAUGGCCGGUACAAAGGGAAGCAAAGCUGCGAAGCGGAGCCAAUCUCAAAAAGCCGGUCUCAGUUCGGAUUGAAGUCUGCAACUCGACUUCAUGAAGGUGGAAUCGCUAGUAAUCGCGAGUCAGCAUUAUCGCGGUGAAUACGUUCCCGGGCCUUGUACACACCGCCCGU